UACGUAGGGGGCAAGCGUUGUCCGGAUUUAUUGGGCGUAAAGAGCGUGUAGGCGGCCAGGUAGGUCUGCUGUGAAAACUCGAGGCUUAACCUCGAGAUGUCGGCGGAAACCAUCUGGCUAGAGUCCGGGAGAGGAGAGUGGAAUUCCUGGUGUAGCGGUGAAAUGCGCAGAUAUCAGGAAGAACACCCGUGGCGAAAGCGGCUCUCUGGAACGGUACUGACGCUGAGACGCGAAAGCGUGGGGAGCGAACAGG
rnacentral:rRNA from 1 species